rnacentral:rRNA from 1 species
CCCUUAGAUGUUCUGGGCCGCACGCGCGCUACACUGAUGCAUUCAACGAGUUUCUUCCUGUCCGAGAGGAAUGGGUAACCUUUUGAAAGUGCAUCGUGAUAGGGAUAGACUAUUGCAAUUAUUGGUCUUCAACGAGGAAUUCCUAGUAGACGUAGUUCAUCAGACUGCAUCGAUUACGUCCCUGCCCUUUGUACACACCGCCCGUCGCUCCUACCGAUUGAAUGCUCAGGUGAGCCAUUCGGACUUUCAUCAUGCUGGUUUCCAGUUUUGAUGAAGGAAAGUCUUGCGAACCUUAUCAUUUAGAGGAAGGAGAAGUCGUAACA